rnacentral:lncRNA from 1 species
CGAAGCAAAAGACAGUAAUUGUUUUAUUCCAUAUUCCGAGAGAAGAAAAUGUAUAUAAUCACAAACAUAUAUACCAAAACAAAUUUUAUAUGAAACAUUUUACCAUAACGUUGCAUGUAAAAGCGCGUGACGUUAAGCGCAGUGAAUAACACUUUCCCAGGUGAAUAUGCUUUUUUAUUCAAAAUCCAAUUCGUAUAGAGAAACCUACUAAAUUAAUACCAAUAUGGAAUAAUUGAUGAUAAUACAUAGCAUAUAUAAUGGUUGAGGAUAAACACGGAUGCGGCCACUUUCAUUUUUGACAAAAACCAUCGUCAUCAUUUUUUUUUCAUAUUUGAUAGAUUAUUCAUAUUGAAGCUUGAAUUGGAGUAUUUUUAAUGGCUAAAUCAGUUAAAAUCUUUCACAUAAACUAAUUUAAUCAACUAAAAUAGAAACUUUGACUCUAAUGUUUAAAAAGUGUUCAAAAACUUUCUUCAGAUGAACCCCAAAUUUGAGUUCAAAAUCAGCCCUUACUGGACCUACGUCUUUAUUGUACGAUCAAAACCCAUUUUGAAAAUAAAAUGGUUUAUUGUGCAUCAUAUUAAAUGUCUUUCUGUCACACCAUGCUGUACUUUGCACUACCUUUUAUUUGAAGUUUAUAUGUGUCUAGUCAUGAAAGUUUACACCAAUAUAGCUUUGAUGUCCAGAAUAUGUUGAAUAAUAUAUAUUUUGUCUAUAUAAUUAUGUACAUUAACAAUGUAUCUGUUACUUCA